rnacentral:rRNA from 1 species
GUAACACGUGGGUAACCUGCCCAUAAGACUGGGAUAACUCCGGGAAACCGGGGCUAAUACCGGAUAACAUUUUGAACUGCAUGGUUCGAAAUUGAAAGGCGGCUUCGGCUGUCACUUAUGGAUGGACCCGCGUCGCAUUAGCUAGUUGGUGAGGUAACGGCUCACCAAGGCAACGAUGCGUAGCCGACCUGAGAGGGUGAUCGGCCACACUGGGACUGAGACACGGCCCAGACUCCUACGGGAGGCAGCAGUAGGGAAUCUUCCGCAAUGGACGAAAGUCUGACGGAGCAACGCCGCGUGAGUGAUGAAGGCUUUCGGGUCGUAAAACUCUGUUGUUAGGGAAGAACAAGUGCUAGUUGAAUAAGCUGGCACCUUGACGGUACCUAACCAGAAAGCCACGGCUAACUACGUGCCAGCAGCCGCGGUAAUACGUAGGUGGCAAGCGUUAUCCGGAAUUAUUGGGCGUAAAGCGCGCGCAGGUGGUUUCUUAAGUCUGAUGUGAAAGCCCACGGCUCAACCGUGGAGGGUCAUUGGAAACUGGGAGACUUGAGUGCAGAAGAGGAAAGUGGAAUUCCAUGUGUAGCGGUGAAAUGCGUAGAGAUAUGGAGGAACACCAGUGGCGAAGGCGACUUUCUGGUCUGUAACUGACACUG